rnacentral:rRNA from 1 species
CCUUACCUGGCCUUGACAUACUAAGAACUUUCCAGAGAUGGAUUGGUGCCUUCGGGAACUUAGAUACAGGUGCUGCAUGGCUGUCGUCAGCUCGUGUCGUGAGGUGUUGGGUUAAGUCCGCAACGAGCGCAACCCUUUUCCUUAUUUGCCAGCGGGUCAUGCCGGGAACUUUAAGGAUACUGCCAGUGACAAACUGGAGGAAGGCGGGGACGACGUCAAGUCAUCAUGGCCCUUACGGCCAGGGCUACACACGUGCUACAAUGGUCGGUACAAAGGGUUGUUACCUCGCGAGAGGAUGCUAAUCUCAAAAAGCCGAUCGUAGUCCGGAUCGCAGUCUGCAACUCGACUGCGUGAAGUCGGAAUCGCUAGUAAUCGCGGAUCAGAAUGCCGCGGUGAAUACGUUCCCGGGCCUUGUACACACCGCCCGUCACACCAUGGGAGUUUGUUGCACCAGAAGUAGGUAGUCUAACCGCAAGGAGGACGCUUACCACGGUGUGGCCGAUGACUGGGGUGAAGUCGUAACAAGGUAAGCGUAGAUGA